rnacentral:rRNA from 1 species
UUAAGCGACUAAGCGUACACGGUGGAUGCCCUGGCAGUCAGAGGCGAUGAAGGACGUGCUAAUCUGCGAAAAGCGUCGGUAAGGUGAUAUGAACCGUUAUAACCGGCGAUGUCCGAAUGGGGAAACCCAGUGUGAUUCGUCACACUAUCGUUAACUGAAUACAUAGGUUAACGAGGCGAACCGGGGGAACUGAAACAUCUAAGUACCCCGAGGAAAAGAAAUCAACCGAGAUUCCCCCAGUAGCGGCGAGCGAACGGGGAGCAGCCCAGAGUCUGAAUCAGCUUGUGUGUUAGUGGAACGGUCUGGAAAGUCCGACGGUACAGGGUGAUAGUCCCGUACACCAAAAUGCACAGGCUGUGAACUCGAAGAGUAGGGCGGGACACGUGGUAUCCUGUCUGAAUAUGGGGGGACCAUCCUCCAAGGCUAAAUACUCCUGACUGACCGAUAGUGAACCAGUACCGUGAGGGAAAGGCGAAAAGAACCCCGGCGAGGGGAGUGAAAAAGAACCUGAAACCGUGUACGUACAAGCAGUGGGAGCACCUUCGGGUGUGACUGCGUACCUUUUGUAUAAUGGGUCAGCGACUUAUAUUCUGUAGCAAGGUUAACCGUAUAGGGGAGCCGCAGGGAAACCGAGUCUUAACUGGGCGUUAAGUUGCAGGGUAUAGACCCGAAACCCGGUGAUCUAGCCAUGGGCAGGUUGAAGGUUGGGUAACACUAACUGGAGGACCGAACCGACUAAUGUUGAAAAAUUAGCGGAUGACUUGUGGCUGGGGGUGAAAGGCCAAUCAAACCGGGAGAUAGCUGGUUCUCCCCGAAAGCUAUUUAGGUAGCGCCUCGUGAACUCAUCUUCGGGGGUAGAGCACUGUUUCGGCUAGGGGGUCAUCCCGACUUACCAACCCGAUGCAAACUACGAAUACCGAAGAAUGUUAUCACGGGAGACACACGGCGGGUGCUAACGUCCGUCGUGAAGAGGGAAACAACCCAGACCGCCAGCUAAGGUCCCAAAGUCAUGGUUAAGUGGGAAACGAUGUGGGAAGGCACAGACAGCCAGGAUGUUGGCUUAGAAGCAGCCAUCAUUUAAAGAAAGCGUAAUAGCUCACUGGUCGAGUCGGCCUGCGCGGAAGAUGUAACGGGGCUAAACCAUGCACCGAAGCUGCGGCAGCGACACUAUGUGUUGUUGGGUAGGGGAGCGUUCUGUAAGCCUGCGAAGGUGUGCUGUGAGGCAUGCUGGAGGUAUCAGAAGUGCGAAUGCUGACAUAAGUAACGAUAAAGCGGGUGAAAAGCCCGCUCGCCGGAAGACCAAGGGUUCCUGUCCAACGUUAAUCGGGGCAGGGUGAGUCGACCCCUAAGGCGAGGCCGAAAGGCGUAGUCGAUGGGAAACAGGUUAAUAUUCCUGUACUUGGUGUUACUGCGAAGGGGGGACGGAGAAGGCUAUGUUAGCCGGGCGACGGUUGUCCCGGUUUAAGCAUGUAGGCUGAUUGUCCAGGCAAAUCCGGAUAAUCAAGGCUGAGGUGUGAUGACGAGGCACUACGGUGCUGAAGUAACAAAUGCCCUGCUUCCAGGAAAAGCCUCUAAGCAUCAGGUAACAUCAAAUCGUACCCCAAACCGACACAGGUGGUCAGGUAGAGAAUACCAAGGCGCUUGAGAGAACUCGGGUGAAGGAACUAGGCAAAAUGGUGCCGUAACUUCGGGAGAAGGCACGCUGGUGUGUAGGUGAAGUCCCUGCGGAUGGAGCUGAGACCAGUCGAAGAUACCAGCUGGCUGCAACUGUUUAUUAAAAACACAGCACUGUGCAAACACGAAAGUGGACGUAUACGGUGUGACGCCUGCCCGGUGCCGGAAGGUUAAUUGAUGGGGUUAUCCGUAAGGAGAAGCUCUUGAUCGAAGCCCCGGUAAACGGCGGCCGUAACUAUAACGGUCCUAAGGUAGCGAAAUUCCUUGUCGGGUAAGUUCCGACCUGCACGAAUGGCGUAAUGAUGGCCAGGCUGUCUCCACCCGAGACUCAGUGAAAUUGAACUCGCUGUGAAGAUGCAGUGUACCCGCGGCAAGACGGAAAGACCCCGUGAACCUUUACUAUAGCUUGACACUGAACAUUGAGCCUUGAUGUGUAGGAUAGGUGGGAGGCUUUGAAGCGUGGACGCCAGUCUGCGUGGAGCCAACCUUGAAAUACCACCCUUUAAUGUUUGAUGUUCUAACGUUGGCCCCUGACCGGGGUUGCGGACAGUGUCUGGUGGGUAGUUUGACUGGGGCGGUCUCCUCCCAAAGCGUAACGGAGGAGCACGAAGGUUAGCUAAUCCUGGUCGGACAUCAGGAGGUUAGUGCAAUGGCAUAAGCUAGCUUGACUGCGAGCGUGACGGCGCGAGCAGGUGCGAAAGCAGGUCAUAGUGAUCCGGUGGUUCUGAAUGGAAGGGCCAUCGCUCAACGGAUAAAAGGUACUCCGGGGAUAACAGGCUGAUACCGCCCAAGAGUUCAUAUCGACGGCGGUGUUUGGCACCUCGAUGUCGGCUCAUCACAUCCUGGGGCUGAAGUAGGUCCCAAGGGUAUGGCUGUUCGCCAUUUAAAGUGGUACGCGAGCUGGGUUUAGAACGUCGUGAGACAGUUCGGUCCCUAUCUGCCGUGGGCGCUGGAGAAUUGAGGGGGGCUGCUCCUAGUACGAGAGGACCGGAGUGGACGCAUCACUGGUGUUCGGGUUGUCAUGCCAAUGGCACUGCCCGGUAGCUAAAUGCGGAAGAGAUAAGUGCUGAAAGCAUCUAAGCACGAAACUUGCCCCGAGAUGAGUUCUCCCUGAGACUUUAAGUCUCCUGAAGGAACGUUAAAGACGAUGACGUUGAUAGGCCGGGUGUGUAAGCGCAGCGAUGCGUUGAGCUAACCGGUACUAAUGAACCGUGAGGCUUAACCUU